UACAGAGGUCCCAAGCGUUGUUCGGAUUCACUGGGCGUAAAGGGCGCGUAGGUGGUCGGGUAAGUCCGAUGUGAAAUCUCCAGGCUCAACCUGGAAAUGGCAUUGGAUACUAUUCGGCUUGAGGAGUGGAGGGGGGACUGGAAUUCUCGGUGUAGCAGUGAAAUGCGUAGAUAUCGAGAGGAACACCAGUGGCGAAGGCGGGUCCCUGGACACUUCCUGACACUGAGGCACGAAAGCUAGGGGAGCAAACAGG
rnacentral:rRNA from 1 species